rnacentral:rRNA from 1 species
UACGUAGGUCCCGAGCGUUAUCCGGAUUUAUUGGGCGUAAAGGGAACGCAGGCGGUCUUUUAAGUCUGAUGUGAAAGCCUUCGGCUUAACCGGAGUAGUGCAUUGGAAACUGGGAGACUUGAGUGCAGAAGAGGAGAGUGGAACUCCAUGUGUAGCGGUGAAAUGCGUAGAUAUAUGGAAGAACACCAGUGGCGAAAGCGGCUCUCUGGUCUGUAACUGACGCUGAGGUUCGAAAGCGUGGGGAGCAAACAGG